UCAAGCCCUCUCGGUGCUUCGCGAGUACUACGGCAGCGCAGCGUUCGUGCAGCAGCCCGCUGCCCCCGCGAGCUUUUCAGCGAAGGCAGGGGCAGGCACUUCCAUCGUAGAG
rnacentral:ribozyme from 1 species